ACCCGCUGAACUUAAGCAUAUCAAUAAGCGGAGGAAAAGAAACCAACAGGGAUUGCCCCAGUAACGGCGAGUGAAGCGGCAACAGCUCAAAUUUGAAAUCUGGCCCCCAGGGUCCGAGUUGUAAUUUGGAGAGGAUGCUUUUGGUGCGGUGCCUUCCGAGUUCCCUGGAACGGGACGCCAUAGAGGGUGAGAGCCCCGUCUGGUCGGAUGCCAAACCUCUGUAAAGCUCCUUCGACGAGUCGAGUAGUUUGGGAAUGCUGCUCAAAAUGGGAGGUAUAUGUCUUCUAAAGCUAAAUAUUGGCCAGAGACCGAUAGCGCACAAGUAGAGUGAUCGAAAGAUGAAAAGCACUUUGAAAAGAGGGUUAAAUAGUACGUGAAAUUGUUGAAAGGGAAGCACUCAUGACCAGACUUGGGCCCGGUGAAUCAUCCAGCGUUCUCGCUGGUGCACUUUGCCGGCCCAGGCCAGCAUCAGUUCGUCGCGGGGGAAAAAGGCUUCGGGAACGUGGCUCCCUCGGGAGUGUUAUAGACCGUUGCACAAUACCCUGCCUCGGACUGAGGUUCGCGCUCCGCAAGGAUGCUGGCGUAAUGGUCAUCAGUGACCCGUCUUGAAACACGGACCAAGGAGUCGUCCUCGUAUGCGAGUGUUCGGGUGUCAAACCCCUACGCGUAAUGAAAGUGAACGUAGGUGAGAGCUUCGGCGCAUCACCGACCGAUCCUGAUGUUCUCGGAUGGAUUUGAGUAAGAGCAUACGGGGCCGGACCCGAAAGAAGGUGAACUAUGCCUGUAUAGGGUGAAGCCAGAGGAAACUCUGGUGGAGGCUCGCAGCGGUUCUGACGUGCAAAUCGAUCGUCAAAUAU
rnacentral:rRNA from 1 species